AGCGAACGCUGGCGGCAGGCUUAACACAUGCAAGUCGAGCGGGCAUCCUUGUGGUGUCAGCGGCAGACGGGUGAGUAACGCGUGGGAACGUGCCCUUCGGUUCGGAAUAACUCAGGGAAACUUGAGCUAAUACCGGAUACGUGCGAGAGCAGAAAGGUUUAUCUGCCGAAGGAUCGGCCCGCGUCUGAUUAGCUAGUUGGUGAGGUUAUGGCUCACCAAGGCGACGAUCAGUAGCUGGUCUGAGAGGGUGAUCAGCCACACUGGGACUGAGACACGGCCCAGACUCCUACGGGAGGCAGCAGUGGGGAAUAUUGGACAAUGGGGGCAACCCUGAUCCAGCCAUGCCGCGUGAGUGAUGACGGCCUUAGGGUUGUAAAGCUCUUUUCUCCGGGACGAUAAUGACGGUACCGGAGGAAUAAGCCCCGGCUAACUUCGUG
rnacentral:rRNA from 1 species